GAUGAACGCUGGCGGCGUGCUUAACACAUGCAAGUCGAACGAAGCAGAUGAGAAAGCUUGCUUUUUUAUUUCGCUUAGUGGCGGACGGGUGAGUAACGCGUGAGUAACCUGCCCUUCAGUGGGGAAUAACAUCGAGAAAUCGGUGCUAAUACCGCAUAACGUAUUUAUGUCGCAUGACAUUUAUACCGAAGGAUUUAUUCGCUGAAGGAUGGACUCGCGUCCGAUUAGAUAGUUGGUGAGAUAAUGGCCCACCAAGUCAACGAUCGGUAGCCGAACUGAGAGGUUGAUCGGCCACAUUGGGACUGAGACACGGCCCAGACUCCUACGGGAGGCAGCAGUGGGGAAUAUUGGGCAAUGGGCGAAAGCUGACCAGCAACGCGCGUGAAGGAUGAAGGUCUUCGGAUUGUAAACUUCUUUGAUUAGGGUAAGAAUUUUUGACCUACCUAAAGAACAAGUCACGGCUAACUACGUGCCAGCAGCCGCGGUAAUGUCUAG
rnacentral:rRNA from 1 species